rnacentral:rRNA from 1 species
CCUACGGGCGGCAGCAGUGAGGAAUAUUGGUCAAUGGUCGGAAGACUGAACCAGCCAUGCCGCGUGCAGGAAGAAUGCCUUAUGGGUUGUAAACUGCUUUUAUAUAGGGAGAAUAAGGAGUACGUGUGCUCUGAUGACGGUACUAUAUGAAUAAGCAUCGGCUAACUCCGUGCCAGCAGCCGCGGUAAUACGGAGGAUGCGAGCGUUAUUCGGAAUCAUUGGGUUUAAAGGGUCUGUAGGCGGGCUAUUAAGUCAGGGGUGAAAUCUUACAGCUUAACUGUGAAAUUGCCUUUGAUACUGGUAGUCUUGAAUAUUUGUGAAGUUUUUGGAAUGUGUAGUGUAGCGGUGAAAUGCUUAGAUAUUACACAGAACACCGAUUGCGAAGGCAGGAGACUAACAAAUGAUUGACGCUGAGAGACGAGAGCGUGGGGAGCGAACAGGAUUAGAUACCCUGGUAGUC